AAUUAGUGGCAGACGGGUGAGUAAUGCAUAGGAAUCUACCUAGUAGUAUAGGAUAGCCACUAGAAGUGGUGGGUAAUACUGUAUAAUCCCUGCGGGGGAAAGAUUUAUCGCUACAUGAUGAGCCUAUGUUAGAUUAGCUAGUUGGUGGGGUAAUGGCCUACCAAGGCAGUGAUCUAUAGCUGGUCUGAGAGGAUGAUCAGCCACACUGGAACUGAGACACGGUCCAGACUCCUACGGGAGGCAGCAGUGGGGAAUAUUGGACAAUGGGCGCAAGCCUGAUCCAGCUAUGCCGCGUGAGUGAGGAAGGCCUUAGGGUUGUAAAACUCUUUCAGUGGGGAAGAUAAUGACGGUACCCACAGAAGAAGUCCCGGCAAACUCCGUGCCAGCAGCCGCGGUAAUACGGAGGGGGCAAGCGUUGUUCGGAAUUAUUGGGCGUAAAGGGCAUGUAGGUGGUUUGGUUAGUUAAAGGUGAAAUGCCAGGGC
rnacentral:rRNA from 1 species